GACUGCAUUUUUGUGCUUUAAGUUACUACAACUGCUGGAUUACUAAGAAAUAAUAGGAAAAAUAACCCGAUUUAUCUAACAAUGUGUGAGCUGCGUAAUCAAAACUCCCGUAUACGGAUGAAAAACAAGCGCCCUACAACUGGUGUCAGAUUGAUUCUGCAUCUACCAGCAGUCGGAGUGGCAGCUCAGCUGGUCAUUGAUGCUGUAAAUCGAGAGCCAAUUCAAACCAAUUUGACCAAUAUGCAGCGAGAAAACGAUCGUAUCAUCGAAGCAGAAAGAAUCAUGGAUUCAACGCAGACUGAUUCGAAUUUUUCUUGAGUUAGAAGCUAGUUAGGUUUGAACUGAGAAUUGCUUAUUACAUUUAGGUCUGAAAGCAGUUCUUAGGUCAAACAGUAAAAAUGUCAAUUGAAAUGUUAAGAGUUGAAAUAAAGUGCUGAUCAACAAAGAUCGUAACAGCACUUUGUUCCGAGAAGGUAGACACUUUUUAAGCCUAUUAAAAAUGAGAAAUUACGCGAUAUUUAGUCUGCGUUGAAACCACAUCGGUCGACAUGGAAGCCCACGGAUAGAUAACUGUUACGAUGAUGAUGGAUGAUUGAUGGAUCAGCAUGACACGAAUUGGAUCGAUACGGUAUGUUCACUGAGAUAAACUGAUAAUAAUCAUGUGCUUGUUUUUGUUGUAUUUUGUGGUGUGCCAACCAGCUCAACAGCUUGAUUGAGUUAUUUGGAGGAACUGCCAACUCCUAAAACGAAAAAAGCAUAGGUGCGUCUUGUAAGUAAUGAAUAAUUUUAAUGACUAGUCAAUUAGAAAUACCAUCAUCAGGGGUGACAUUGGGUUUGGGUGUGAGAUUGGGUCAUACAAAAAUGCAGAAAUUUGAAUGACCCAAGCUUACCCGGGCAGAUGGUAAUAACAAAAUUCAUGCCAUUUCAAUUACAAAUACUAUUCAAAUAACAGAAGGUGUUAUGAAAUCUUUUUGAAAAAUCCACGUUUGCAUAAGGGUUUAAUAACAGUUUAUGUUAUCAUAACAAAGUUUAUUAUUGGUCUGAUAUUGGUGGAAAGCCAAAACAACUUUGUAAUAACAUUUUUUGA